rnacentral:rRNA from 1 species
UGGGGAAUAUUGCACAAUGGGGGAAACCCUGAUGCAGCAACGCCGCGUGCGGGAUGACGGCCUUCGGGUUGUAAACCGCUUUCAGCCAUGACGAAGCUUUUGUGACGGUAGUGGCAGAAGAAGCACCGGCUAACUACGUGCCAGCAGCCGCGGUGAUACGUAGGGUGCGAGCGUUGUCCGGAAUUAUUGGGCGUAAAGAGCUUGUAGGCGGUUUGUCGCGUCGAAAGUGUAAACUCAGUGCUUAACGCUGAGCCUGCUUUCGAUACGGGCUGACUAGAGGAAGGUAGGGGAGAAGGGAAUUCCCGGUGGAGCGGUGGAAUGCGCAGAUAUCGGGAGGAACACCAGUGGCGAAGGCGGUUCUCUGGACCUUUCCUGACGCUGAGAAGCGAAAGCGUGGGUAGCAAACAGG